AUUUCGGGCUCCUUUUCAAUUCAAAUGAAUAUUUCGUUUUUUACUAAAUAUUUCCUUUAAAAGGUGCUUUAAUUGAAUCUAAAAGAUUUUG